UUGUUGCCAUUUAUACAUCAUGUACAUGUACAAUCAUUAGCUGAUCAGCUCUAUAUUUUCUUUAUUUUUAUUCUCCUUCACUGUUUUAUUUAUAAGAGUAGACUCAUAUAUAUAUGAUCUGUAUUCAUCAUUGGGACAGGUAGCUAUAUAUAUAGGUGAAGUAGGUCCUUUUGAUUUGAUUUUUUUAAAGGAUUUUGACAGCACUAAAGCAUAUACAUGUAGUUCCAAUUUAUAGUUGAUCUUAGCUCCUUAAGUGGAU
rnacentral:lncRNA from 1 species